AUACGGAGGAUCCAAGCGUUAUCCGGAUUUAUUGGGUUUAAAGGGUGCGUAGGCGGACUGGUAAGUCAGCUGUGAAAGUUUGCGGCUUAACCGUAAAAUUGCAGUUGAUACUGUCAGUCUUGAGUGUGCAUGAGGUGGGCGGAAUUUGUGGUGUAGCGGUGAAAUGCUUAGAUAUCACGAGGAACACCGAUUGCGUAGGCAGCUGACCAGACCGCAAAUGACGCUCAUGCACGAAAGUGCGGGGAUCGAACAGGAUUAGAUACCCUGGUAGUCCGCACAGUAAACGAUGAAUACUUGUUUUCGGCGAUAUAAUGUCGGAGGCAAAGCGAAAGCGAUAAGUAUUCCACCUGGGGAGUACGCCGGCAACGGUGAAACUCAAAUGAAUUGGCGGGG
rnacentral:rRNA from 1 species